AGUGAACGCUGGCGGUAGGCCUAACACAUGCAAGUCGAACGGCAGCACAGUAAGAGCUUGCUCUUACGGGUGGCGGGUGGCGGACGGGUGAGGAAUACAUCGGAAUCUACUUUUUCGUGGGGGGUAACGUAGGGAAACUUACGCUAAUACCGCAUACGACCUACGGGUGAAAGCAGGGGAUCUUCGGACCUUGCGCGAUUGAAUGAGCCGAUGUCGGAUUAGCUAGUUGGCGGGGUAAAGGCCCACCAAGGCGACGAUCCGUAGCUGGUCUGAGAGGAUGAUCAGCCACACUGGAACUGAGACACGGUCCAGACUCCUACGGGAGGCAGCAGUGGGGAAUAUUGGACAAUGGGCGCAAGCCUGAUCCAGCCAUACCGCGUGGGUGAAGAAGGCCUUCGGGUUGUAAAGCCCUUUUGUUGGGAAAGAAAAGCAGCAGGUUAAUACCCCGCUGUUCUGACGGUACCCAAAGAACAAGCACCGGCUAACUUCGUG
rnacentral:rRNA from 1 species